GAACUCUUACUUUUUGAAUAGAUUCUACGUCAACUGCAAAAACACAAUUCACACACUUUAAGAGGUCUUCAGGGUUGUAACGGGGCUUAGGUACGGUGGGAGAGUAGACAACAAAAUGGAUUAAAAAAGGUUUUACAGCUCGGCAUUCAUGUUGUUGUUUUUCUUUGUGCAAGAAUUUUAUUUUUAGGGUGUCGUACAAUCUUGACUCUUUUUCCACUCAAAUUCAUAUUAAUGCAUGAGUAUAUUUCUAAGGCAAGUGCUUAUUCUUUUUCAUUGCUCUAUAUAGAUACCUCUUUUUUUCUUUUUCUCUUUUUUUUUUUCCGGUAGAAGCGGAUGUUUCUACACACUUUUUCUUUUUCUCAUCUUUCUUUUCCUUACACUUGCCAUUUUUCAACAACAUUUUUAUUCUACGGAUGAAUACCCCAAAUUUAUCUUUUUGCACAAGUUUUACAUUACACAGUCAUGCCGGGCUAGGGUAGGGCGUGUAUGGCUAAGGGUUAACAUGAUGGUUUACAC
rnacentral:lncRNA from 1 species